AUUGAACGCUGGCGGCAGGCCUAACACAUGCAAGUCGAGCGAGCGGCGGACGGGUGAGUAAUGUCUGGGAAACUGCCUGCUGGAGGGGGAUAACUACUGGAAACGGUAGCCAAUACCGCAUCCUAUCGGAUGUGCCCAGAUGGGGUUAGCUAGUAGGUGGGGUAACGGCUCACCUAGGCGACGAUCCCUAGCUGAUGUGAGAGGAUGACCAGCCACACUGGAACGGAGACACGGUCUAUAUUCCUACGGGAGGCAGCAGUGGGGGAUAUUGCACAAUGGGCGCAAGCCUGAUGCAGCCAUGCCGCGUGUAUGAAGAAGGCCUUCGGGUUGUAAAGUACUUUCAGCGGGGAGGCGUUACCCGCAGAAGAAGCACCGGCUAACUCCGUGCCAGCAGCCGCGGUAAUAC
rnacentral:rRNA from 1 species